CAAAAAUUUCUAGAAUUAAACUUUUUUUCUUAACCUGAUUUUUGGGUUUAUAAGACUAUAACAAAAUAAUUGGUGAAGAAAAAAUCAUAUGGUGGUGCACUUCUUUUUUUGCUACAGCCCUUUGAAAAUGCCCAAUUUUGAUGAUUUUCCCAUUUUUCAUCAAUUUUUACCUAUUUUUGGGCUUUUACUGUGAAAAAAUCACAGUUCCACAAUUAAACUUUUUUUCAUACUUUCUAUGAAGAUGAAGUGGACCAAUCUGAAUAAAUUUUACUUAAAAAAACUAUAGGUAG
rnacentral:lncRNA from 1 species